rnacentral:rRNA from 1 species
UACGAAGGGGGCUAGCGUUGUUCGGAUUUACUGGGCGUAAAGCGCACGUAGGCGGAUUGUUAAGUCAGGGGUGAAAUCCUGGAGCUCAACUCCAGAACUGCCUUUGAUACUGGCAAUCUUGAGUCCGGAAGAGGUGAGUGGAACUCCUAGUGUAGAGGUGGAAUUCGUAAAUAUUAGGAAGAACACCAGUGGCGAAGGCGGCUCACUGGUCCGGUACUGACGCUGAGGUGCGAAAGCGUGGGGAGCAAACAGG